rnacentral:rRNA from 1 species
CCUACGGGAUGCUGCAGUGGGGAAUAUUGGACAAUGGGCGAAAGCCUGAUCCAGCCAUGCCGCGUGUGUGAAGAAGGCCUUCGGGUUGUAAAGCACUUUCAGUGGGGAAGAAAGCCUUGGGGCUAAUACCCUCGAGGAAGGACAUCACCCACAGAAGAAGCACCGGCUAACUCCGUGCCAGCAGCCGCGGUAAUACGGAGGGUGCGAGCGUUAAUCGGAAUUACUGGGCGUAAAGCGCGCGUAGGCGGUCUGAUAAGCCGGUUGUGAAAGCCCCGGGCUCAACCUGGGAACGGCAUCCGGAACUGUCAGGCUUGAGUGCAGGAGAGGAAGGUAGAAUUCCCGGUGUAGCGGUGAAAUGCGUAGAGAUCGGGAGGAAUACCAGUGGCGAAGGCGGCCUUCUGGACUGACACUGACGCUGAGGUGCGAAAGCGUGGGUAGCAAACAGGAUUAGAUACCCUAGUAGUC